GCAGGCCGCCCCGCCGGAUCCCCUAGAGCAGAGCGGGGGAGGAGACCCGUUCCUCCGGAGCUGGACGGUGGCUGGGAAGGGGCAGUCCGUGUGAGGGCAGCCUUGGCCUACGGGGUGCGUCGGCUGGACCCAGGCGGACAGGACCUUGGGAGGGAGGGGAGGAGCCCUGUAGGUUCCGCGGAGAGCUACGAGUUUGCUUAGCUCGCAGGACGUCAGAGCUGGUGACGUCCGAUGCAAGGUUCCCCUCUUCCAGGAUGAGUGCCAGGUGACGUGUAUCAGAUGCCUGUUGGUGAGAUUUGAGGCGGACCCCAGACCUUAACACCCCUCUGGCUGAGUCCCCUCACAUGGUAGCAGAGUGGGAGCUUCAUGAAAACAGGGGCAGUUCUGUCUUGGUCACCACUUUACCCCCAGCACCUGGAAUAGUAGAUACUUGAUAAGAUUUGCUGACUGAUGGAAGUAAGCUGGGGAGGGAGGAAGGGAAGGAAACCAAUGUUAGGUGAAAGCUUAGCCUGUUUCAGGUACUUCCCUAAAACGAUCUCAUUCGAUCCCCUCACAGCCUUUCAGGGUGGGUACUGCAUCUCCAUUGGGUGGAUAACAAGCUGAGUGAGGGCAUCAGCGUUUUGUUGGUUUUGCCGCCAUAGACUUCUUUGAGAAUCUCCAUUAGAGCCAAACUUUUUGCAAAUCACGUGGAGGAAUUUGAAGACCUCUUUGGGCCCACGCAGGGAUCCCAGAUAAGGGAACCCAGGAUUAAAGAAUUGCCUGAGGUCUUUCUGGCCUCAAGGCUUUGCCGGUCCCUCACUCCAAUGGCAAGUGUGGAUAACAGGAGUUUGUGAUGCACUGAGCCUUUGAUGUCUCUGCCCCGAGUUCAAAUCCUGACUCAGACUAGCGGUGUGACUAUGGGCUGGACUUCUCACCUCUCUGAAUCCCAGUUUCUUUGCUUUCAAAAUGGAAUCUUUUUUUUCCUCUAACAAUAACUAAUAUUUAUUUGAUCUUCUUAUUAAGUGCCCAGUACUUGGCUGAUGUCUUUACAGGUGUUCUCUCACUGUUACCAUAAGGUUGGUACUCUUACCAUCUCCCUUAUGCAGCUGGGGGCUGGGAAGUUCACUGUCAGCCAUUGUGCUCCUUACACACACAGUGUAAUGGGAUGUGCCAUGAGCUCAGCCUGCCCAAAGCUGACUUCUGAAUCUGUUGCAAACCCUGUUCUUAGGGUUUGUGGGAACAUUUGAGUCUGAACCAGGUUAAAAAAAGACAUGGAUGGCUGCAGAGCAGUAUGAAUGGAGGCCAGUCUCUUAACUCUGUAUGUCCCCUUUCCCCCUGUGAGGGCUUCUUGCCAAGCCGAGACGGAGCCUCUUAACUGGAACAUCUAUGUCGUCCCAGGGUCUGCUUUGCACAGGGUCUGCAUUUGUGUACGUGGCUGCUGUCUCUUUUUAGCAGUGACAUCACUCUGCCUGGAAUUAUGAGGCUGUCUCCCCACCUGGCUGGCGGCCACUGCUUGGCCAUUCCGAAUGGAAUUCCUCUGUCUUCUAGCCCCUAGCACAGGCCUGGCCCAGCAGUGCUGCUCAGGAAAUGCCUUUGGAAUCAAAGGGAGGACUCUUCCAUGUGUUGAGGAUUUACUGUGUGCCAGGCUUGUCCCGGACACUUUAUAUGUGUUAUCUCAUUUACACGGACCAGUAAUCCUGGGAGGGAGAAGUCACUGUCCCAAUUUUACUGAGAAGCAGCAGCCUCAGUUGGGCUUUGCCUUAGGUUCACUUGUCAUAAUUGAUGGCCCAGGACCCACUCCAGGGCUUGUGCUGUCAUCGUGCCAUGAUGACUUCUAGAAGCCUUGGGCUGCUCAAUCCCUCAAUACCUGGGAUCCUCAGAGACUAUAACAACUUCUAGUCCAGCUCUCAUUUCAUCCAUGAGGAAGCAGAAGCCAAGGAAGGAGAGAUGACUGACUGACGGCCCCUCUUUUCCACUUACUACUUAUCCACUUACUUUGGGGUAGGAUGAGAUCCAGUUUUACUCACCAUAGCAGCAUCCAGGUAGCCCAGUUCCUGGUCCAGGUUGGACCCUCAGUAAAUGCUUUUACAUUUUUAUUAUGAAAACAUUGAGAAAAAGUAUAAGGAUUAGUAUGACAGACAUCCAUAUACCCACCACUUAGCUCAUGAAAUAAAACACUGCUGCUUUAACUGAAGGCCCUGGGGUGCCCCUCAACAACUGCGCCCCUCCCCCCACAAAACUGAGAGUCUUCUGAAUUUGAUUCUUAUUAUUCUAUGCAGGGUUUUUUUUUUUUUUUUUUUUUUUUUUUGUCUUUU